GGUUAAGUGAAUAAGGGCGCAC
rnacentral:rRNA from 2 species